CCUACGGGAGGCAGCAGUGGGGAAUAUUGCGCAAUGGGGGCAACCCUGACGCAGCAACGCCGCGUGAUUGAAGAAGGCCUUCGGGUUGUAAAGAUCUUUAAUCAGGGGCGAAAAAUGACGGUACCUGAAGAAUAAGCUCCGGCUAACUACGUGCCAGCAGCCGCGGUAAUACGCAGGGAGCAAGCGUUAUCCGGAGUUACUGGGGUUAAAGGGCGUGUAGGCGGGCCUGUAAGUCAGAGGUGAAAUCUGGGGGCUUAACCCCCAACCUGCUUUUGAAACUGCGGGUCUUGAGUGAUGGAGAGGCAUGCGGAAUUCCCAGUGUAGCGGUGAAAUGCGUAGAUAUUGGGAGGAACACCAGUGGCGAAGGCGGCCUGCUGGACAUUAACUGACGCUGAGGCGCGAAAGCGUGGGGAGCAAACAGGAUUAGAUACCCGGGUAGUC
rnacentral:rRNA from 1 species